CAAGAGCAAUAUUUGGGACCAGUCUCUCUGUCCCAGUUAUCGUCUCUUUUGCAGAUGCUAGUUAUGCUGAUUAUCAGUCAUGAGCUAUAAUAUAACUAACUUAAUUUUACAGUAUUGUCUUCUAGAAUUUGUUUCAAAAUUGUAGUGAUUUGCUGUUGAAUCACACAGGGAAGUGAAGAAGUCUCUGCCAAAGCUAACAAUUUAAUACUUAAGGUAGAAAAGAAACUGAAAUAUGCCUGUUUGUGCAUACCAUCACUUCCAAAGGGAUAAGGAUACAAAUGUGUAUAGUUCUUACUUUCAAGUAACAGUAGAUAGAAAAAGUACAGAUAUAUGCAUUCAAAUAAUAAAUCAACUUCUAGACGGUAAAUAAACUUGGAUUUAAAUUCCCCAGGCUCAGAAACUCUUUUGAACUUAAAAGAAAUUCCAAAGAUCUAGUCCAACUUUAUCAUUGCACAUGAGGUGACAGAUUCAGAGAAGUUAGUGUUUAAUGCAUUGUCAUUUAUUAAGUGGGAAAUUUAUAGGAUGUUCCAAAUAUGAACUUAGUGGUGACACUAGGUAGCAAGUUAACUUUGCUUUUAUUAUCUUAGUGUCAGCUAAUGUUGAUUAAUUGCUUGUUGUAAGUACUUUUAUAGAGAGACUGCCAGUUCUUUUCUCAUGUAAGUCUAGUAGGUAUAUCAGCAGAAUGUAGACUUAUAUAGUGGGCUAUUUUUAGAGAGGUUAGCUUUCAACAAAAUCUGUUUCAAAGAAUGCUGACGAAUUCAAGUGAAUAGUAAAACAUUCAUUAAGACAAAAUGAGGAAACUAUAUUUACAAAAUUGCAUGACUUUUAAAACAUAGACUGACUUACAGGUAUGAGGGCAGAUAGCAGGUAAAAUUUGAAGCGAAGUAUAAUUUUGAUGAUGAAGGUACAACUAAUUUUGUGAGGAUAAAGGAAGAAACGUAACAAAAAGAAACUCUUAGGAAGGAAAAUAAAGCUUUGAGACUUUAAUAUGAUAGGAAAAAUGAAAUGUGAAAAGCAAUUCAGUUCUACUUAGAGCUUGGCCGUACAUUUUUCUCAUCAAAACUUGUUAUUGUAGUCGUAUUUUGCUUUCUUCCUUUACAUAUUCUCUCUGAGAAAAGCUCAGGUAUGGUGCGGUGUGAUAUAGUGCAGUACAGGUCUGGCUUUGUCACUUAUGACCAGUAUGGUCUUGGACUAAAAGUUUGCCUAUUAAGACAUCUAAAGUGAAUAAUUUUUAAAUAUUUAGAUGUCUGAGAUUUAGGUACUUCAUUAAAAAUGAAACCAUGUCUUUGAUAUGACUAUAGGAUUACUGAAAUGAAAUUACAUGAAAUUGUUUUAAAAACUGAAGACUUCACAGAGGUAAAUAAUACUGUUUUAUACUAUAACUAUAGAUCAGUCUAGCAUGACAGAUAUUUUAGUAUGCAGUAUGUCAGAAUUAAGGUUGUUGACUUUAGAAUUAAGGAAGACGUAGUUCUUGCCUUUAGGAUACUUUCCAUCUACUUUGGGGAAGUAGAAAGUCUAACUUGGGCUCUCCAAUAGAUGCAGAGAGGAGCUUGUUAAUUUUUAAGGUGUAUGGAUAUGAGUCAGUAGCUGAGUCAAAGUGUCAAAAAGAAUGUAAAAUUUUUAGUCUUGAUCAGUAUGGUCAAUGGGAUAGGUUCCAGAUUUUAACAUCUGGGUUGGAUACUUUGACAGCAGCAUAGAGGAUUAAAGGGGGACUUUAGGAACAUCCAUUCCAACCUCCUUGAAGAUACCUCUUACAGGGUGCCAGAAUUAGCUUGACUGUUUCUCAUACUGAGGCAUCUUUCCGUGAUGUGAUGCAGUACACUUCCUUAUGCACUCUUGUGUUUGGAGUUCUUUGUUUUUGUCAGCCCCAAAUAUUGUUGUGUGUUCUUUAUAUUUUUUUGAAUAUGCUACAGGCUUGACUAAAGAGAGGAAACUAUUGAUGGGACUACCAGAAGUCAAAAGAGGAGAAUGAUAGGUUGAGGAAGCAGGACAAAAAAAUGAAAUAAUAACAACUAUAAUAACCAAUGCUUACUAGCACUUAAGUCGCAGGUGCUGUUCUUUUGUUUUGUUUCGUUUAUUUAUAAUGAUUUUUUUCCCAUUAUAGCUGGUUUAUAGUGUUCUGUCAAUUUCCUACUGUACAGCAAGGUGACCCAGUUAUACAUACAUGUAUACAUUCUUUUUUCUCACAUUAUCAUGCUCCAUCGUAAGUGACUAGAUAUAGUUCCCAGUGCUAUAAGGAAGGAUCUCAUUGCUUAUCCAUUCCAAAGGCAAUAGUUUGAAUCUUUUAACCCCAAAUUCCCAGGUGUUGUUCUAAAUGCUUUUCUUAUAUUAUCUCACAACAACCUAUGGUAUUGGUAUUUUAAUAUUGAGUGUCAGUUAAAUGAAAUAUUAAUUUAAUAUCAAGUGAUAGCCUUAAUGGUAUUUACCUUUGUUAAAGAUGAGGGAACUGAGCUAUAAUGCUUUGCACAGUGGAAGGCAGGGCUUAUGCUUUUUGGUUCUAGAGACCAAACCCUUAACACUACCACAUAUUACUUCUUAAAGAUAACCUGGAGGCCCCUCUGGGAAAAGUUCUCCACCUUCCCUUCUCUAAGUGUGAUAGCCAUUAGAGAUAAAAGAUGACAAUUUUAAAGUCAGUAACUUGGGUCUACUGGGGGUGGGUGGAGGAGGUGAAAUACUGUAGAAUUUAUUCAACAUUUUAAGAUUGACUGCUGGUAUUAGAAGGGAACCCGAAUGUAAUCUACUUUGCAAAUCAAGGGGAAAGGGAAUUUUGACGACGCUCUUGCGAGGACUAUGUUUUAUGAUGCUGUAUAAGCAUAAAAACUUGAUAUAGGAAGUUUAGUAAGGACUUAUGAUCACUAGUUUACUGUAUAGAUCAGCACUGUGUAAUAGAGAUAUAAAGUGAACCAUGCGUGUAAUUUAAAAUUUUCUGGCGGCCACAUUAAAUAAAAAGAAACAGGUUAAAUUAGUUUUAAUAAUAUAUUUUAUUUAACCUAAUAUAUUCAAAAUAUUAUUUAAACAACUAAUUAAAACAAUGAAAUACAUCUUACAUUCUUUUAUUCCUACUAAGUCUUUGAAAUUAGUGUGCAUUUCUCUGUUUAAAUUAGCUGUUUUCUCAGUUUUAACUAUUUUUAAUACUUAGUAAGAAGGGGUGGGGAAAGAUUUACCAAAUGUUUAGGCUUCCUGUUGUUUGAAGUACUGUGGGUUUUAUGUAGUUAGAGGGAUUCUAAAUGAUUUCUGCAGUCAUAAAAUUCUGGGCUCUGGUUUUAAAAAGAGCACAGUACUUUUUCUGUAGUCAGAGCUCUAAAAGAGAAGCACACAGUUCUUACUCUUGAAAUGUGGUGUUUGUUGGUUCAGGGACUCUGUGUCUCUUAACUAGAACUUAUCACAACUUCACUUAUUUGACCGGUUUGUUUUUAAGGAACUUAAUAAGUUUAAGCUUACAUCAUUCCUCAGGCAGGGAUUUCUAAAAUCUUCUUUUCCCUGCAAAGAAAAAAAUCACCUAAAAACUCCAACUAAAUAAACUUAAAAAUGAAAAUAAAUCUUUUUAAACUAUAAAAAUGUAAUAUGCAUUCUUCAUAUAAAUUUAGAUAAUAGAGAUAGCUACUUUGAUGUGUUUAAUGAACAGAUCUUUGGCAGAGGAAAGUGUGAUCUUUGGCUUCCUCCUGCAGUGCUAGGGUUCCUAGGGUAGUAGCACUCCAGUGAAUCAGAUUUUCUGGGUUGUAUGGGGACAGAUAGUAAAGACUUUAUUUCCUUUAAGAAGAGUUUGAACAAAUGGGAGGUAUGUGCUCUUUCUGUCCGAGUUAUGUAUUAUAUUGCUCUGUAUUAUGUAUUAUAUUUUAUUUGGCUAAGAGCCUAAUUUUAAUGCAUUU
rnacentral:lncRNA from 1 species